rfam:Callithrix jacchus chromosome 4, whole genome shotgun sequence
CCAAAGGCUCUUUUCAGAGCCACUCAACACUUCCAGAAAAGAGCCGG